rnacentral:rRNA from 1 species
CGCGUGAGGAACCUGCCUCAAAGAGGGGGACAACAGUUGGAAACGGCUGCUAAUACCGCAUAAGCCCACGGCUCGGCAUCGAGCAGAGGGAAAAGGAGCAAUCCGCUUUGAGAUGGCCUCGCGUCCGAUUAGCUAGUUGGUGAGGUAAUGGCCCACCAAGGCGACGAUCGGUAGCCGGACUGAGAGGUUGAACGGCCACAUUGGGACUGAGACACGGCCCAGACUCCUACGGGAGGCAGCAGUGGGGAAUAUUGCACAAUGGGGGAAACCCUGAUGCAGCGACGCCGCGUGGAGGAAGAAGGUCUUCGGAUUGUAAACUCCUGUUGUUGAGGAAGAU